AGGAUGAACGCUGGCGGCGUGCCUAAUACAUGCAAGUCGAGCGGUAAGGUUCUCACUCUGUAUUUAACGAGUUUGAAUAUAGUGUGAGAAUACACGAGCGGCGGACGGCUGAGUAACACGUAGGAACGUACCCCAAAGUGAGGGAUAAGCACCAGAAAUGGUGUCUAAUACCGCAUGUGCUCUUCGGAGUAAAGCUACGGCGCUUUGGGAACGGCCUGCGCAUGAUUAGCUUGUUGGUGAGGUAAUAGCUCACCAAGGCGACGAUCAUUAGCUGGUCUGAGAGGAUGAUCAGCCAGACUGGGACUGAGAACGGCCCAGACUCCUACGGGAGGCAGCAGUAGGGAAUUUUCCACAAUGGGCGAAAGCCUGAUGGAGCAACGCCGCGUGCAGGAUGAAUGCCUUCGGGUUGUAAACUGCUUUUAUCUGUGACGAUUAUGACGGUAGCAGAUGAAUAAGGAUCGGCUAACGUCCGUGACCG
rnacentral:rRNA from 1 species